rnacentral:rRNA from 1 species
AUUGAACGCUGGCGGAAUGCUUUACACUUGCAAGUCGAACGGCAGCACGGACUUCGGUCUGGUGGCGAGUGGCGAACGGGUGAGUAAUGUAUCGGAACGUGCCCAGUCGUGGGGGAUAACGUAGUGAAAAUUACGCUAAGAACGCAUACGAUCUAUGGAUGAAGGCGGGGGAUCGCAAGACCUCGCGCGACUGGAGCGGCCGAUAUCAGAUUAGGUAGUUGGGUGGGUAAAGGCCCACCAAGCCAACGAUCUGUAGCUGGUCUGAGAGAACGACCAGCCACACUGAAACUGAGACACGGUCCAGACUCCUACGGGAGGCAGCAGUGGGGAAUUUUGGACAAUGGGCGAAAGCCUGAUCCAGCCAUUCCGCGUGCAGGAUGAAGGCCCUCGGGUUGUAAACUGCUUUUGUACAGAACGAAAAGGUUUCUACUAAUACUAGGAGCUCAUGACGGUACUGUAAGAAUAAGCACCGGCUAACUACGUGCCAGCAGCCGCCGUAA